rnacentral:rRNA from 1 species
UACGAAGGGAGCUAGCGUUGUUCGGAAUCACUGGGCGUAAAGCGCACGUAGGCGGAUGUGUCAGUCAGGGGUGAAAUCCCGGAGCUCAACUUCGGAACUGCCUUUGAUACAGCACGUCUUGAGUCCGAUAGAGGUGGGUGGAAUUCCUAGUGUAGAGGUGAAAUUCGUAGAUAUUAGGAAGAACACCGGUGGCGCAGGCGGCCCACUGGUCCGGUACUGACGCUGAGGUGCGAAAGCGUGGGGAGCGAACCGG